AGCAGGGGUGUCAAACAUGCGGCCCCCCAGAUGUUGCUGAACUACAACUCCCAUGAUUCUUUCAAUGAAACAGAUAGCCAGGGAAUCAUGGGAGUUGUAGUUCGGCAACAUCUGGGGUGGGCGCAUGUUUGACACCCCUGUU